ensembl:misc_RNA Metazoa_SRP Metazoan signal recognition particle RNA
GCUGGGCAUGGUGGCACAUGCCUGUAAUCCCAGCUACUUGAGAGGCUGAGGCAGAAGAAUUGCUUGAGUCCAGGAGAUGGAGGUUGCAGUGAGCCAAGAUCAUGCCACUGCACUCCAGCCUGGACAACAGAGCAAGACUCUGUCUCAA